rnacentral:rRNA from 1 species
AUUGAACGCUGGCGGCAGGCCUAACACAUGCAAGUCGAGCGGAUGAAGGGAGCUUGCUCCUGGAUUCAGCGGCGGACGGGUGAGUAAUGCCUAGGAAUCUGCCUGGUAGUGGGGGAUAACGUCCGGAAACGGGCGCUAAUACCGCAUACGUCCUGAGGGAGAAAGUGGGGGAUCUUCGGACCUCACGCUAUCAGAUGAGCCUAGGUCGGAUUAGCUAGUUGGUGGGGUAAAGGCCUACCAAGGCGACGAUCCGUAACUGGUCUGAGAGGAUGAUCAGUCACACUGGAACUGAGACACGGUCCAGAAGCCUACGGGAGGCAGCAGUGGGGAAUAUUGGACAAUGGGCGAAAGCCUGAUCCAGCCAUGCCGCGUGUGUGAAGAAGGUCUUCGGAUUGUAAAGCACUUUAAGUUGGGAGGAAGGGCAGUAAGUUAAUACCUUGCUGUUUUGACGUUACCAACAGAAUAAGCACCGGCUAACUUCGUG